GCCGCGUGCAGGAAGAAGCUCCUCGGAGCGUAAACUGCUUUUGCGUGGGAAAAAUUUUGAUUGUACCACGAGAAUAAGGGGUUGCUAACCUCGUGCCAGCAGCAGCGGUAAUACGAGGACCCCAAGCGUUAUCCGGAGUUACUGGGCGUAAAGCGCGGGUAGUCGGUUUUGCUAGUCUAAUGUUAAAUUUUAAGGCUUAACUUUAAAACCGCAUUGGAAACGGCAAGACUAGAGUGGGUUAGAGGCAAGCGGAACGUGCGGUGUAGGGGUGAAAUCCAUUGAUAUUGCACGGAACACCAAAAGCGAAGGCAGCUUGCUAGAGCUCUACUGACGAUCAGCCGCGAAAGUGUGGGCAUAAAAAAGGAUUAGAUACCCUUGUAUUCCACACCCUAAACUAUGCAGACCAGCUAUCGGGAGCAUCGACCCUUCCGGUGGCAAAGCUAACGCGUUAAGUCUGCCGCCUGGGAAGUACGGCCGCAAGGCUAAAACUCAAAGGAAUAGCCGGGAAUUUGCACAAGCAGUGGAUCAUGUGGUUCAAUUCGACUCUAAGCGAGGAACCUCACCAGGACUUGAAAUCUAGAUGCAAGCCCUAGAAAUAGGGUCGCCUUCGAGG
rnacentral:rRNA from 1 species